rnacentral:rRNA from 3 species
GCGACCCCAGGAUGGGCGAGGAAACCCGCCGAGUUUAAGCAUAUCAAUAAGCGGAGG